rnacentral:rRNA from 1 species
UACAGAGGCCUCGAGCGUUAGGCGGAAUCACUGGGCUUAAAGCGUGUGUAGGCGGACCCCUAAGUACCUUGUGAAAUCCCACGGCUCACCCGUGGAACGGCUGGGUAUACUGGGGGUCUUGAGCCACCUAGGGGCGAGUGGAACAAAUGGUGGAGCGGUGAGAUGCGUAGAUAUCAUUUGGAACGCCAAUGGUGAAAACAACUCGCUGGGGGUGUGCUGACGCUGAGACACGAAAGCCAGGGGAGCGAACGGG